rnacentral:lncRNA from 1 species
GAUUGUUCCAUGUAUCUAGUCUUUAAAAACAUGAGUUUUAAUGGCCAUGAAGUAUUUCUUCAUUUCCUGAUCUGUCGCCCAAUGACUUCCAGCGUCCCGUGAUCUCAGGCUACACCGUGACAGACGAAGCACAAUCCAGGUGGCAGUGAUGCCGUCCAUUAGCAUUUUAGAGAAAUAUGCCGGCAUCUCUGUGGUGCGGCGGGACAUCAGCCAGCUGGAAUGUUCUGGGUUGCAGACGCCGAGCCCAAUCCAGGUGCCUGGGAAGCAGGGAAGAAAACUCCAACUCAGAGAAGUUAGUUGACUUUUCCAAGGCAACACAGCGGCUGAGGGACGUUGGUGGGAUUUGAAUAUCCGC